UUACAAAAUUUAGUCUAAAUAAUUGGUCUCAUUACCCUUUCACUGAGAUAUUGGACAACGUGCUUAAAAACGAAAUAACUCGUAUAUAUAGAGUAAACCCCACAAAAAUUAAAAUAGUCGGUUUAAAUUAUUAAAAUAUACAAAAUAAACCUCAUAAAAAAUAAAUGGUGAUAUGAAUAUGCUCUUAUUGACAUACCCCAUCCCGAAGGAGGGCAUGCUGGCCGUCACGUGAGAGUGACGUAACCAUUUGCACAGUACGGAAGCUUUAAGAUACAAUUUAAGUUGAUACACCCGAAGGUGAGUCCUAAUUUUGUCCAAUCUGUCAGAACACCGUCGAAUUCCUCGUAGUCACCACACCUUUGUGAUUCCUGAACCUGGAGGGGCGCAAAACCAAAAUUGAGUGGGUCAGUAAAACAAUUCUUUUCCAAAUCCAAACAAUUUUCAAAACGUUGUAACCCCUCUCCGUAAAACCUGUAUAUUUUCCCAGAAAUGUAAAAUAUAAAUAUACAUAUAUAUUCUCAAAACUUCAAGUCGUUAACUCAACAUUUUUCAUAACAAUUAUGCCAUGCCCACAUCAUCUCAACAUUUCUCAUAUUAAUUAUGCCAUGCCACAUCAUCUCAACAGUAAUAAGGUAUGAAUGCAUCAACAUAAUCAUAUCAGGUGCAAGAAAGUAAUCAACCGUAGGCCCUCUAAUAGCCCUGUACGGUUGAACCUAGAGCUCAAAAUCUAUCAUUAUCACUCUACCGGAGUCACCUCUGUGACCCGUCCGGCCUUCUGCACACAAGUUACGCUCUAGUGCUUCUCAUAAGUCAUCUGUGCACAUAAUCUAAGGUCACCCACCAGUCGGAAUCUCACUAACACUCUCGCGACUGGUCUGUCGUACCCACUCCGCGUGGACUGUACGACUAGCAUCUACUUGGAUCCAAGGCGAGCGUGCGAUGCGGUGAAUACUAUAAGCACUAAACCAUGGUGCAGGAUUUGAGCUCAAUAUAUAUCAUCAUCAUAAUAACAGUAAUUAAAUUCUUACCUGUGCGUCCACCGCACCAAUUCAUACAUAUGCAUCAUAAAUCAAUUCUUACCUGUGCGUCCACCGCACCAAUUCAUACAUAUGCAUCAUAUAUUAAUUCAUGCAUGGCAUUUCAACUCACAUUUCUAUAUACUUUUCAUAUCAAUUCUAUGCAUGGUAUUUCACUUCCCGUUUUUCCACAUAACUCAUAUGCAUUUCAUUUUAAACAUAUUUUCAUUUCAAUUCAAUUUCUGGGAAACGUCAAGUAUAUAUAUAUACGGAAACAAACUGCCCACUCACCUGGAGUUCGCCCUACAACUCCCUAGCACAAUACGCCAAGGCGUCAUGACGAUCGCCGCCUAGAAUAGUAAUCAAAUCCAGGCUCAGAAUUCAUAUCGAUAAAAUAUAAUAACUUAUAUAAAAUACGUCACUACGUAGUUCGAUCCGGAAGAUCUGCCACUCAGAUUUUAAAUCCAUAACUUCCAGAGGUCCACAAUAUAUCUCUAGGAUAACAUCCUAAAAUUUCAUUACCAUCCAACGGUUGGAUCUCCGUCAAUUUCCAAAACUAAGUGACGGUUAACAUUUUAUAUUAUGGACUUACAAUUCCAAUUCCGGAAGAUCCGUAACUCGGAUUCCCAAUCCGUAAGUUCCAAUAAUCCUCAAAUAUUACGUAUUACAACGUAUCAAAGUUUGGUGACAAUCCAACGGUCGGAUCAUCAAUUCACAUUUUCACCAAAACUAUAAAACGUUAUUCGAACACCUAACCAACAAUCCUUAAUAACUUUCUCAUACGGUGUUCAAUUUAGGUAUAUGAAUAUACCACAGUGAUCUACUCGACGUCACGGACGUCGACAUAUUUUUAAAAUAUUUUAUUUUUAUUUUUUAUUUUACUGUAGCACCAUCUUCUUCCUUGGGUCGCCGGACUGGUUUUUCCGGCGGCCGUUUUUCCGGGCAGUUUUUUCAAAUUGCCAUAACUUUGUCAUUUCUCAACGAAAUCAAGUGAUUCAAAAACGAAAGUUGUAGCCCUUGAAGAGACAAAGAGAAUGGUACCUUGCACAACACCUAGUUCGCCGUGGUUUGGCCGGAAACUGCCUCGAAAGCCUCGGAGGUCGCCGGAAACUGGGUAUUUUUCAAAUGAGUAUAACUUCUUCAAUACUCAACGAAAUUGAGUGAAACAAAAAGGAAAGUUGUAGUACUUGACGAGACGAAGAGAUUGAUACCUACCUCGACUCUUAACUCGCCGGGGAUUCGCCGGAAAAAGCCUCGAAAGCUCCGGCCAAACUUUGAACUUGUCGAUCUCAGUGUUCUUACGUCCAAAAACUUCCCACGAAGCACUCCGAGCUUCCUUGGGACCUCACUAAGCUCACUAUAAGCUUAGAAUUCCCUGAAACACAACAUUUUACGUUCACAUGAACAGUGACCAAAAAUGGAGGUUCGGGUUUCACAUGAUUCCGAAGGUUUCACUUCCUAAAACUAGUACCAAUGAACUCAGAAUGACGAAAGGAUGAAGAUGCAUACCUUAGUUGCCUCGAUCCGUCGAGUUUUGGAGGAUUUGGGUGUAUGCCGUACGUUUUGGGUGAGAGAGAGUGAGAGAGAAAGAGGAAGUCGUGAGGGAGGAGAGAGAAUGAACUGAGAGAGAGACAAGGUACGGGAAAGAGGGAGAAAAUUGAGGGGUGUGGGAUCCUACCCAAUCCCCAACUACAAAAUUCUAACAUAAAUUUAAAUCUAAGUCUCCACUCUACUUACCAAAUUUUAGGAGCUUAGAUAUAACGAACAUAAAAAUUAUACCUUAGCCACGUAUUAGGGGCAUUUUCGUAAUUUCACAUCCUCGGAAUUAAAAAUUCCGGGACGGGCUGUGACAAUCUUCCCUCCUUAUAGAAUUUCGUCCCCGAAAUUCCAACAACCAAUCCAAACAUCUACUCAUACCAACCUCGGUAAAUCUCUCUUAUCCGAUUCUCUUUCUCCCACGUAAUUUUCUUCCACUGAAUGAUUUCCUUCACAAAGCUUUUACCACUUACUCUGUCUUAAUUCUCAAGACUUUCUUUUUCCAAUCCAAAGUCGUCCUUGGUUCCUUAUCAAUUCGAAUCCAAUUUAAUUCUCAAUAGUUGCACCAGAAUCUCAUGUGACGAAUCUGCCACCUAGUGACAACGUAUCGAACCCAAAAUACAUUAAGUACCUUAGCCAACUCUGAAGACAUCACCACUUGUAUGCAACUUUAUUGAUUCCUUUAGUGAUCAAAAAUGGUCUGAUGUGUCUAAAUCUUAUUUUGUCUCCUUUCCAACCCGAAUUAUACUUUUCUAUGGUGAACACUUCGAAAAUAUAAAACCAUUUGUCUUAUACACUCGAUUAGUGGCAUAUCCCUCUGUUAAUCUCUUUUGCCUCAAUCUGCUGACCAAAUAAAACUGUCGAAUGGUAUGAUAAAUCUUAUUACUUUUGGAAUAUUACAGAAGUUAAACAAUGUACUUCGUCCAAAAUUGCUUACUUUAAAUCCUUAGCAUUAGGCACAUACUUUUUGUUUUCUUGUAUCCACAUACCAUUUGAUUCACGAAUCAUGUACUCAUUCUUUUUCCCUUCUUUCUCUGCCUUGGUUAAUUCUUAAAUUUCCUCGUCAAACAUUUAAGUUUCGAGUACGACCUUACCAAAUAGGCCUAACUUGAAAUUUAACAAGUAUAACUUCUUCUCGAUCUUUCAUUCUUAACUUUUCUUCCAUUGGUUUUCAAUCCACAAGAUGAUACUCUUGGCAAACGUGCCAGAUAUUAAUCUUACUGUAGUCUUCUCACCAAGUGCUUCAGCUAGAACAAAUUUUACGAUCACCUUGAUCGUACAAUCAUGUUCAUUAAGCAAUACAAUUCACUUUCGCUGCCUCAUAUCAAAAUCCUUCCAAGUAAUGGAUAUUGAAGACUUUUUGGAUUCGUAAAAAUCUUGCAUUCUUACCAAAUAUAUAAUGUCUCCAUAACUUCACAGUAAGAAUGGUAAUCAUGACUUCCAAGUCACUCGUAGGGUAAUUCAUCUCAUGAGGUUCCAUUUAUCAUGAAACGUAUGCAAUCACCCUAACAUUUGCAUCAACAUGCCUCCAAUACCAUUCAAGAAACAUCACUAAAAAUUUAUGAUUACCACUAUUCUCUGGGAAUACCAAAUUACGUGCAUGAGUGAGGAAAUACUUCAGUUGUUGAAUCAUUUGCUCACAAUUUCCUUCCCACUCAUACAUAACCUCUUUUCUCAACAGUCUCGUUAAUGACAAAGCAAUGACUAAAAAUUCUUUCACAACCAUCCAAAAUAGCCUGGUAAGCUAAGAAAUUCCAAAUCUCAAUUACGACUCGUGGUUGUUCCAAAUUCUCAAUUUCUGCUAUCUUUUAAGAAUUCAUUUGAAUACCUUAAGCAGAUAUAACCAAUCUCAGAAUGCCACUUGAUUCAUCCAACAUUCGCAUUUGCUAAACUUAGCAUACAACCAACGUUCUCUCAAUCUUUGCUUCACCGACUUAAUACGUUUACAUGCUCUGCUCUGGCUCAGAAUAUGCCAGAAUAUCUUCAAUGAAAAUGAUAUCAAUUUAUCAAGGCAUUAUUGGAAUACUUCAUCCAUCAACUCAUAAAACAGCAUGAGUAUCCAUAUAGCAUCACCAAACUUCAUAAAGACUAUAACAAGUCCAGAAAACCAUCUUAUGAUCAACGUCACUUAUAAUAUUCAAUUGGUAGAACCAGAUCUCAAUUCAAUCUUUGAAUCUUCGCAAUUACUUCUGAGCUGGUUAAAUAAACAUCAGUACAUCACCAUGGAUAACGGUUCUCAAUCGUUACCCGACUCCAUUGUCUAUAAUCAAUGAACAAUCUCAAGAUCCAUUUUUCUUCCUCACCAACAAACUGGGCUCCUCAAAAGUGUUGUACUAGGUUGAAUAAAACUUUUAUCAACCAAUUCUCUCAACUGAAUUUCCAAUUCCCUUAACUCAUCCUGAACCAAUCUCCAAUAUAAAUUUAUACCUGGCAACAAAUCAAUAAUGAACCUCAUAUCUCUGCCUGAAGGCAAUCCAGGUAUACUUUCAAGGAAGACAUCAAGAAAAGUCUAACUCUUUCGACAUUAUUCACACUACUCCAAACAACAUCAUUUAGCACCACAUGAGCUAAGUAUUUUUGACAGCCUUUCGAAAACAAUCUCUUUGCUCUCACAGCAUAAAUAACAGCCUGACUCAAUCCAUUUUGCAUACUUACAAAAGUAAUCUCUGUUCAUCCAUAUCGAUGGAAAGUACUGGUUUCCCGUAACAUUCCGUCUUGUCACAAUUAUAACCAACCAAUCUAAUGGAACAGAAUUAACUGAUACAAUAUAUAUUCUAUUAUUAUUAAGCAUUCUAAAUAAGUACAAUACUAACAUAAAAUAAUCUACCGGUUUGCUUGCUUAACGAAUCCACGAAUGAGUUAUUAAUAUUACGGUCUGCAGCCCGCAAUACUGAUAAAUCAUCGUUGUCUCGAUAAGUAGGCAACCACUCUCAAAGAUAUAACAUUACUAUUUUGUUACUCAAUGCAAAAUACAUACACUCGUCUCAACUACAUUUAUUUACUACUCUCUAGGUAAUAACAUACAUAAUAAGAAAUAUAUCAGCCGAAGUCAACUAGAAUGACCAAUACGGCUGAUUCAACUCUUAUCUCAAUAAUACGUCGGCCGGAUCCACUCCGCGUGGUCGGUAUGGCUGAGCCUAUAACUCACCAUUUCUCAUGUGUCAAUCGAAUCCACUUCUCAUGGUCUGUACGACUGAACAUAUAACUCAUCAAAUCUCUCUGUACUCACAGUCAAUCCGACCAAACUACUAAAUUCAUAAACUUGUUGAAUCAACACUAUGAUAUCAUGGAAAAUUGUUGAGUACAACUGAUUCUAGGGACGAUUCACAAUUCUGUGUCCCCUCUGUUCACAUAAACACAUUCAUUAAUUUCACAUUUCCCAAAGUGUUAAUUUUUUUUUUUUUUUUUUUUUUUUUUUUUUUUUUUUUUUUUUUUUUUUUUUUUUUUUUUUUUUUGUACCUGCUGCACAAGGUACAUUUCCUUUACUCGAGACACCUUGUCUCAAAUAUCUGGGAUUACCAGUAUAUCCAUCACUUUUACUCUGACCAGCGACAUUAAAACCUCAGCUGGAAGAAUUAACUCUAGCUUCACUUCUUUCGAAGCUCUGAAUCUUUCUAUAUCCUUGAUAUGACGAAUCAUUGACUUUAUCGUCUUCUUUUGAGUCUCAUUCAUUUCUUAUUCUUCUUUAUUCUCGUUGCUCAUGUUCUCAGAGUCCUCAAGACUCAACAGCAUCUCGCAUACUCCUGAUAAGAAUUACAAUGGAUAGUGGUCACCCAAAAUACCACUUCCCUUUUGCCACCCAGCCUAAAACAACAUAACACCUCCACCAAAUUCACAACAAUAUCUGGAUAGAACGAGGCAAGUCUGAAAACUUUCUAUAAUAUCCCUCGAUCAUCACCUUCCUUGUCUCAUAUUUGUAAACUCUUGUUUACCACCAUCGAUAAAUGCCGGAGGGAUAAACUUUUCCUUUAAACAAGUCCUUAAACAAUUCUCAAUCGACUGAUUCCUAUGGUGACAACAAUUCAUACUCCUGUUUCCACCAGGAUACAAAUUCAUAACCAAAACCAGGUAGUCGUCUCGACCCCUUGUCAGAAGGAAAUUUCCUUUGACUUGCAUAAUCUGAAACAUCUUUUCCAAUUGGUUAAACCGUUACUUCGCUCCCUCAGGUUCAUCAUUUCAUAAGGUGAUUCAAAUUCAACUCAUAACCCAUCUUAAAAUGUCCCUUUUUAUAAUAGACUGAAUCACCAUAAUAAUAGUUUUCCCUAAACCGCUAUAUUAGGGAGACUAAAUUCCUCUAACUACGUGGUUUGCUACGAGGCGGUGUAGUUCUGACAGAAUUCACUAUAAACUUCUCAAGAUGUCCAAGAUUGCAACCAUGCUCUGAUACCAACUGACAUACCCCAUCCCGAAGGAGGGCAUGCUGGCCGUCACGUGAGAGUGACGUAACCAUUUGCACAGUACGGAAGCUUUAAGAUACAAUUUAAGUUGAUACACCCGAAGGUGAGUCCUAAUUUUGUCCAAUCUGUCAGAACACCGUCGAAUUCCUCGUAGUCACCACACCUUUGUGAUUCCUGAACCUGGAGGGGCGCAAAACCAAAAUUGAGUGGGUCAGUAAAACAAUUCUUUUCCAAAUCCAAACAAUUUUCAAAACGUUGUAACCCCUCUCCGUAAAACCUGUAUAUUUUCCCAGAAAUGUAAAAUAUAAAUAUACAUAUAUAUUCUCAAAACUUCAAGUCGUUAACUCAACAUUUUCAUAACAAUUAUGCCAUGCCACAUCAUCUCAACAUUUCUCAUAUUAAUUAUGCCAUGCCACAUCAUCUCAACAGUAAUAAGGUAUGAAUGCAUCAACAUAAUCAUAUCAGGUGCAAGAAAGUAAUCAACCGUAGGCCCUCUAAUAGCCCUGUACGGUUGAACCUAGAGCUCAAAAUCUAUCAUUAUCACUCUACCGGAGUCACCUCUGUGACCCGUCCGGCCUUCUGCACACAAGUUACGCUCUAGUGCUUCUCAUAAGUCAUCUGUGCACAUAAUCUAAGGUCACCCACCAGUCGGAAUCUCACUAACACUCUCGCGACUGGUCUGUCGUACCCACUCCGCGUGGACUGUACGACUAGCAUCUACUUGGAUCCAAGGCGAGCGUGCGAUGCGGUGAAUACUAUAAGCACUAAACCAUGGUGCAGGAUUUGAGCUCAAUAUAUAUCAUCAUCAUAAUAACAGUAAUUAAAUUCUUACCUGUGCGUCCACCGCACCAAUUCAUACAUAUGCAUCAUAAAUCAAUUCUUACCUGUGCGUCCACCGCACCAAUUCAUACAUAUGCAUCAUAUAUUAAUUCAUGCAUGGCAUUUCAACUCACAUUUCUAUAUACUUUUCAUAUCAAUUCUAUGCAUGGUAUUUCACUUCCCGUUUUUCCACAUAACUCAUAUGCAUUUCAUUUUAAACAUAUUUUCAUUUCAAUUCAAUUUCUGGGAAACGUCAAGUAUAUAUAUAUACGGAAAACAAAACUGCCCACUCACCUGGAGUUCGCCCUACAACUCCCUAGCACAAUACGCCAAGGCGUCAUGACGAUCGCCGCCUAGAAUAGUAAUCAAAUCCAGGCUCAGAAUUCAUAUCGAUAAAAUAUAACUUAUAUAAAAUACGUCACUACGUAGUUCGAUCCGGAAGAUCUGCCACUCAGAUUUUAAAUCCAUAACUUCCAGAGGUCCACAAUAUAUCUCUAGGAUAACAUCCUAAAAUUUCAUUACCAUCCAACGGUUGGAUCUCCGUCAAUUUCCAAAACUAAGUGACGGUUAACAUUUUAUAUUAUGGACUUACAAUUCCAAUUCCGGAAGAUCCGUAACUCGGAUUCCCAAUCCGUAAGUUCCAAUAAUCCUCAAAUAUUACGUAUUACAACGUAUCAAAGUUUGGUGACAAUCCAACGGUCGGAUCAUCAAUUCACAUUUUCACCAAAACUAUAAAACGUUAUUCGAACACCUAACCAACAAUCCUUAAUAACUUUCUCAUACGGUGUUCAAUUUAGGUAUAUGAAUAUACCACAGUGAUCUACUCGACGUCACGGACGUCGACAUAUUUUUAAAAUAUUUUUAUUUUUAUUUUUUUAUUUUACUGUAGCACCAUCUUCUUCCUUGGGUCGCCGGACUGGUUUUUCCGGCGGCCGUUUUCCGGGCAGUUUUUCAAAUUGCCAUAACUUUGUCAUUUCUCAACGAAAUCAAGUGAUUCAAAAACGAAAGUUGUAGCCCUUGAAGAGACAAAGAGAAUGGUACCUUGCACAACACCUAGUUCGCCGUGGUUUGGCCGGAAACUGCCUCGAAAGCCUCGGAGGUCGCCGGAAACUGGGUAUUUUUCAAAUGAGUAUAACUUCUUCAAUACUCAACGAAAUUGAGUGAAACAAAAAGGAAAGUUGUAGUACUUGACGAGACGAAGAGAUUGAUACCUACCUCGACUCUUAACUCGCCGGGGAUUCGCCGGAAAAAGCCUCGAAAGCUCCGGCCAAACUUUGAACUUGUCGAUCUCAGUGUUCUUACGUCCAAAAACUUCCCACGAAGCACUCCGAGCUUCCUUGGGACCUCACUAAGCUCACUAUAAGCUUAGAAUUCCCUGAAACACAACAUUUUACGUUCACAUGAACAGUGACCAAAAAUGGAGGUUCGGGUUUCACAUGAUUCCGAAGGUUUCACUUCCUAAAACUAGUACCAAUGAACUCAGAAUGACGAAAGGAUGAAGAUGCAUACCUUAGUUGCCUCGAUCCGUCGAGUUUUGGAGGAUUUGGGUGUAUGCCGUACGUUUUGGGUGAGAGAGAGUGAGAGAGAAAGAGGAAGUCGUGAGGGAGGAGAGAGAAUGAACUGAGAGAGAGACAAGGUACGGGAAAGAGGGAGAAAAUUGAGGGGUGUGGGAUCCUACCCAAUCCCCAACUACAAAAUUCUAACAUAAAUUUAAAUCUAAGUCUCCACUCUACUUACCAAAUUUUAGGAGCUUAGAUAUAACGAACAUAAAAAUUAUACCUUAGCCACGUAUUAGGGGCAUUUUCGUAAUUUCACAUCCUCGGAAUUAAAAAUUCCGGGACGGGCUGUGACACUUAUAUAUAUUACACUAAUUUUCACAAGCUUCAAAAUUAUGGUCUUU
rnacentral:lncRNA from 1 species